rnacentral:lncRNA from 1 species
UUUAAUUUUUAUAAAAUGGUAAUGUGUUGGGUACCCGAAUGGUUAUCAUUGAUAUUGAAAUCUGCAGAACGGAGUAAAACUACUCAUUAUAUUAUGUUCCUGCUACUUUUAUAAA